AUGGGGAUGGGGAGCUGCGCGACUGAGACGGCACGCUGCGAGUCAGUGGCCACUGCUGUCACCACCCCUCUCUACCAUUGCCUCGGCCCACCCCCUUCGCCCCCCUCCAGCAUAACGGACUGUCCCAUGCAGGAUCGUGUAGCCCAAGCUCACUGCAAGCUCUCAGACAGUGAGUGCCUCUCAGAGGGAGAGCCUCCGGGUGGGCUUCCCCCGCUGCCCUGUAUUCCUGCGGCAUGCCCGAGUAGGACUACAGCGCCGGUAGGUCUGCCCCUGCCGCCUCACGUGGCAGCCAGCUUCAUGCUAGAAGUCAAGAGUUGCAGCAAUACGGGACUAAGACUACGAAUUAGUGAUUCUUGGCUGGUCUCUCGUUGAAAUUAGUGUUGCUGUACGGCAUCUGCUAUUGUUCUGUGGAAAACUAGCUUCAGGCUAGCACAGGCUUGCAUGCUUGCACUCCGCUUCCAAAUGUUGAAGGUAAAAUGUCACAGAGGCUGUGUGCUUCCUUAAUUCUACUUACUAGCAGACCACCAUUCUGCUUUAAUUCCCAGCAGUGGCCUAAAUAAUCCAACGGGGGGGAGGGGGGGGGGGGGGGGGAGGGGGGGAAGGAGGAGGGGGAUCAUCAGUAAAGAGCGGAUCCCAAAGGAGAAUGUCAACAUCAGAUACGGAAAAAAUGGACUGGAAGCAUCUUUCUGGUUCACUCUUUUCUCCUAGUGCAAGAACAUAAAUAAGAGUCUGCCUACUCAAACUGGAAAUGUAACUGGCUGAAUUUGGAAAAUGCUAGAGGACUAGGCAUGCUGCACAGCCCUCAGAUUUUAUCUACCAUCCACCUGAGUUACAUUCACAGCAAGUUACAGAGACAAGCAGCAGAAAAUUAGGAUGCCAUCAGCUACGGUGCAAACAAUGUGCACUCAUUAGGACUGAAUGGAAAAUAUGACAAAAAACAGUGGCUUAUAAUUUCACAAAUACUUGUGUGAUAAUAGAGUGGAAUAUUGUGCUUCUGCUCCCAAAGUAAAUUCCUUUUGGUCUGAAAUAUAAGCCUCACAUUACAUGCAAUACGAAGUGCCACAUUACAAGGAAAUCAUAUGAAUGAUUCCCUUAAACACCGGGAAACAUAUAAAAGCAAAUAUGCACAUUAGACACCCUAUUUCAGGGAAAAAAGUAUAGGUUUCUUCUUAAAAGAAGUACUGUCUGAAGUUAGUGCUACAUCUCUGAGUUCAGAAAGCUAGGGCUAGUUUCCACACAUUGCAGUCUUGUCUAGCAGUUCCAUAUAUAGAUGGAAUAGCACAAGUACCUACAUCCUCAUAGGCAGUAUAGGUUCUUUCUUAAUUCUCUCUGUGGGGGUUUCUAGACAUGAGCUAGAGUAGACCUCUUUCCUUCUGACUCUUUUCCCCUCCCCCAGCCUGAUUCUAAAAGAAAUUGGCUUCAGGAGGAAUUGCAGGUACUCAGCUUCUCUCAGAAUCCGGCCCUUACUUGGUUCAGCGGUAAAUUUUUGCACAUUUUUGAUGUCUAGAACAAAUGCUCGGCUUUAUCUCCAUAGUGCUUGAGACCACCAAUACAUUUAACAGGGCAUGCCCAAAAAGGGGCGGACACUAAGUAAAUGAUUUGGGGUAAAGUAUUCAAUAUAUAUAUAUAUAUGCAUUAUGGGAAGACUUUGGCAUAUGUAAUGCCUACAGUGUACAUAAACUGAACAGGUUUUUUUGAACCAGUUACGCACAAUAGGAGGAACUAUCCCCCGUGCAUCCAGUGCUGCAAUAAAAAGGAUGCUUGCUUUCUCA
rnacentral:lncRNA from 1 species